GAUAAGAUGACUGAAGAAUUUAAGUGAUAAAUUGUAAAUUUAUAUAUGGUAUUAACCUCUUAUCA
rnacentral:tRNA from 1 species